CCUGGAGUGACCUCCUGAGUUUUCUGUACUCUGGCUCUUCUGGGAGGCCCGAAAGGCAGAAAGAGGAGCAGCGACAAAAAAUUAUGGUAAAAUGGAAUUGCAGCCAAAGCCAGUGAUCUUCACCACCAUUCUGCUGUCCACCAUGCAGUUGGUGGAUGUCAGGCGCCCGUGGACUUCCGUUUUGCUGGAAUGCAGAGAGAGAGGAAGGAAGAGUGGAAGAGAGAGAGAGAAAUAUCGAUGUGAGAGAGAAGCAUCGACUGCCUGCCUCCUGCACGUGCCUGAACCGAGGAUCAAACCUGCAACCAGGCCAAUCAGUGCUCUGACUGGUAAUCAAACCUUUCAACACAUUUGCUCAUUUCAUGAUGGGUGAUUUAUGAGCACACCGGCCCACACCAAGCUGAGUAUUCAGCAGUUUUUAACCAAAAAUAGCAUGAACCCCAUGCCCCAUCCUCCCUAUUCACCUGAUCUCUCCUAGAGAGACUUUUUUUUUGUUUCCCUGGAUGGAAAAUAUCCUCAAACGGACAUGUUUUGCUGAUGUAGAAAAGGUGAAACAAAAAAUGGCAGAGGCACUAAGAGGCAUCGAAAUCGAGGAGUUCAAAACCUGCUUUGAGCAGUGAGAAACGUCUCAAUAGGUGCAUUGCAUCAGAUGGAGAGUACUCUGAAGGUGACUGAAGUUUAAACAUGGAAGAAUAAAUACACAAUUUUUAAAGUAAAUUCAUUUCAUUUUGGGGGGUACACCCUCAUAUAUCAUAA